rnacentral:misc_RNA from 1 species
CGCACAUUGCGCCCCUUGGUAUUCCGAGGGGCAUGCCUGUUCGAGCGUCAUUACAACCCUCAAGCCUGGCUUGGUAUUGGGCUCCGCUACUUACCUGGCGGGCUUUAAAAUCAGUGGCGGUGUUGUCGAGGCCCUGAGCGUAGUAAAUCUCCUCGCUAUAGGGACCCGGUGACUACUAGCCAUAACUCCAACUUCCUAAGUUUGACCUCGGAUCAGGUAGGGAUACCCGCUGAACUUAA